AGCUCUAAUAGCGUAUAUUAAAGUUGUUGCGGUUAAAAAGCUCGUAGUUGGAUCUCGGGGGGGCACGCGCGGUCCGGUGAAAACCGCGAACUGGUGCGGGCCUCCCUUCCGUCUGGAGGCGGCCUCUCCACCCGCUUAAUUGCGGGGGGGAGUCGAAUCCAGGACCUUUACUUUGAACAAAUUAGAGUGUUUAAAGCAGGCCUUUUGCGCCCGAAUACAUUAGCAUGGAAUGACAAUAUAGGACUUUGGUUCUAUUUUGUUGGUUUUAAGGACCGAAGUAAUGAUUAAUAGGGACGGUUGGGGGCAUUCGUAUUCCGUUGUCAGAGGUGAAAUUCUUAGAUUUACGGAAGACGAACUUCUGCGAAAGCAUUUGCCAAGGAUGUUUUCAUUGAUCAAGAAC
rnacentral:rRNA from 1 species